UACGAAGGGGGCUAGCGUUACUCGGAAUGACUGGGCGUAAAGGGCGCGUAGGCGGUUUGGACGGUUAGGCGUGAAAUUCCUGGGCUCAACCUGGGGGCUGCGCUUAAUACAUCUGGACUAGAGUGUGAAAGAGGGUCGUGGAAUUCCCAGUGUAGAGGUGAAAUUCGUAGAUAUUGGGAAGAACACCGGUGGCGAAGGCGGCGACCUGGUUCAUUACUGACGCUGAGGCGCGAAAGCGUGGGGAGCAAACAGG
rnacentral:rRNA from 1 species